ACUCAUGCCUUCAACAAGCAUGUAUUGAGUGCCGACUGGGUGCCAGGCACUGUUUCUAGGCUCUGGAAAUAUAGCUGGGACAGAUAUAGAGACCCUGCCUCAGGAAGGUGACAUUCUGGUGGCCAAACGCAUGCGAACACUGUCCUCCCGCAUUCAGUGAGUGUUUACCGGAAGCCAAGCUCUGUCCCAAGCACUGUGCUGAUGAUAUCUCAUUUCAUCCUCUCUGUCACUGUAGGAGGCAAUCUUUAUUGUUAUCCCAUUUUACAGAACACACUCUCCUGCCUUAAGAACCCACCAGCAAGAACCCCCUUCCCCACAUCUUCCCAUGGUCCUUCUCAUCCUUCAGGUCAAAUUGCUUCUCAAAAGGCAGUGAGGGCCAGGCACGGUGGCUCACACCUGUAAUCCCAGCACUUUGGGAGGUCGAGGUGAGUGGAUCACUUGAGAUCAGGAGCUCGAAACCAGCCUGGCCAACAUGGUGAAACCCCCUCUCUACUAAAAAUAAAAUGUAAAAAAAUUAGCCAGGCAUGGUGGCGCACACCUGUAAUCCCAGCUACUCGG
rnacentral:lncRNA from 1 species